CGCGUAGGCGGUUUUGUAAGUCGGAUGUGAAAGCCCUGGGCUUAACCUGGGAAUUGCAUUCGAUACUGCAGAACUAGAGUACGGUAGAGGGAAGUGGAAUUCCGGGUGUAGCGGUGAAAUGCGUAGAUAUCCGGAGGAACACCAGUGGCGAAGGCGACUUCCUGGGCCAGUACUGACGCUGAGGUGCGAAAGCGUGGGGAGCAAACA
rnacentral:rRNA from 1 species